GAAGCCCUGGAUUUUAACCAUGCUUGCAGUUCUUUUCCAUCUGCUGUGAGGGAUAAUUUCUCCUCUUUGUUUCUGAGACGUGCAGCGGACCAGUCCUGACCUGAUCUCCACCCAUGUACACUAGGGAAAGAUGCUUGACGCAACCCUACUUCCUGACAAUCAUGGCAGAAAUUAUAAUUAACGGGGCUGGGAAAAUAAAUAUGGGAGGUGGGGGUUGGAUUCCAGGCAUCAGGGUGAAACUCCAGAAUUGAGGAGGCGUUCAGGUGAAGAUGACACAGUAUUACUGUUGGUCGGCCAGUUGCCACGUGACUCCAGCACCAGCAUCCCAGGGAGCCCAGGAGUGUGACUGGAUAAUUGGCUUAACGGGCUACUGCUGUUCCACUGAAACCUCCCAGCAAGACCAAAGGACAAUAAACCUUUUUCAAACCCGACCUCGCUCCAUCCCUGUUGGUUCAAAAGUGUGAUUUACGAAACUGAACACAAGUGAAGGUCAGACCUGUCCUC
rnacentral:lncRNA from 1 species